GACGAACGCUGGCGGCGUGCUUAACACAUGCAAGUCGAACGGAAAGGCCCUGCUUUUGUGGGGUGCUCGAGUGGCGAACGGGUGAGUAACACGUGAGUAACCUGCCCUUGACUUUGGGAUAACUUCAGGAAACUGGGGCUAAUACCGGAUAGGAGCUCCUGCUGCAUGGUGGGGGUUGGAAAGUUUCGGCGGUUGGGGAUGGACUCGCGGCUUAUCAGCUUGUUGGUGGGGUAGUGGCUUACCAAGGCUUUGACGGGUAGCCGGCCUGAGAGGGUGACCGGCCACAUUGGGACUGAGGUACGGCCCAGACUCCUACGGGAGGCAGCAGUGGGGAAUAUUGCACAAUGGGCGGAAGCCUGAUGCAGCAACGCCGCGUGCGGGAUGACGGCCUUCGGGUUGUAGACCGCUUUCGCCUGUGACGAAGCGUGAGUGACGGUAAUGGGUAAAGAAGCACCGGCUAACUACGUG
rnacentral:rRNA from 1 species